AUGAAAAGUCUCCUUCCCAAACACCGUAGUUCCUCAGUCGGGGAGUCUCUCGGUCUCCUGAAGGGUAACCACUAUACCAUUUUGGGGGAUACCCUUCCAGAAGUUUCCCCCUCUCUCACAGAUAUUCACUUUUUUAAAAAUACAUAUAUAGCCACAAAAAACACAAUGCAUACUCUUGUGAGAUUUCGAUUUUCGUUCUUAACGUACUUAGUAACGUAUGAAUUAAGGUCAAUACGUGCUAAGCCCCUAGAACGGCUCCUGGCCCACAGUAAGUGCAGGGCGCGUGUAUCAAAGGACGGCCCACAACUCAAGGAUUUAUACCAGAGAGACCCUAGAUGCACCCCCCCUCCCCAAGAAAAAAAACCCCAGCGGGGUUCUCCUGGGCAAGAGCUAGGAGGUGCUUCCUCCCCCUCACAUCCCCAGGGAAUUGGCCAUCACCUCCCCCCGGGCAGCAUCUGGAGGAAAUGGGGGCCCCGGGGCUCAGAGUCCCUAAAUGAAUCCCACCGACACCCCCCCUGCGCCCCGCCCCCACCAGGUCCAAGCAACACACGGAGCAGCAAAGGCUUCAUGAAGGCUUCAGCUGCCGCUGAUUUCCAAGCGCAGGGAAAUCACCUUCUCAUGCUUUCAUCUGCCGACGCGGCGAGGAAGGACCCACUGGGCCAGACGCAGUUCACUGUGUGGAACCAGCGCGCCCGAAACUCGGCGGCGGCGGCGGCGGCGGCGGCGGCGGCGGCGGCGGGGGUUCUAGAAGGGAAGGGGCAGCCUGUGCACCCGGCUGGGUCCCGGCCCUCCCGGGGUCCCCUAAUUAGGGGCACUCACAGGAGGUGUGAACUCAGGUGUCACGCCGGCGAGGACACGGCCGCGUGUUCCGGCGGCUGUAGGAGGGGACCGGAGACGUCCCCACCGCCCCCCUCAGGAGCAGCUUGGACUCACACAACUUUGAACGCCCUGAGGGACGCAGCCCGCCUCUGCCGCACGCACGCACCCACGCACGCUACACUUCCGGUUUAUUUGCAUACCCGAGGAGCCUUCUGGGAGCUUCGCGCGGCCUACCCAGCGCGUUCGCCAUCUCCAUCUCCCUCUGCCCGCAUGCACGCACGCUGCACUUCCGGUUAA
rnacentral:lncRNA from 1 species